UACGUAGGGGUCUAGCGUUGUCCGGAAUUAUUGGGCGUAAAGAGCUCGUAGGCGGUUCGGCAAGUCGGAUGUGAAAUCUCCACGCUUAACGUGGAGGGGCCAUUCGAAACUGCCGUGACUCGAGUCCGGUAGGGGAGUUCGGAAUUCCCGGUGUAGUGGUGAAAUGCGUAGAUAUCGGGAGGAACACCAGUGGCGAAGGCGACUUCCUGGCCUGUUCUUGACGCUGAGGCGCGAAAGCUAGGGGAGCAAACGGG
rnacentral:rRNA from 1 species